rnacentral:ncRNA from 1 species
AUAAAGGCUGUGAAGAGAAGAGUAGGUAAAGAUAUUCUUUAACAGAGAGCUCUGGUAGCUGUGAAAGAGCAAAGAACAAUUUACUGAAACAAGUCUCGGAGCUUCAUACGGAUUUUUAUAUGCAAUAUAUAAAUUGAUGCUAUGACGAUUGUUCCCGUUACAGAACUAGAGUAUAACCCUGUUAAAAAACAAGGCGUACUUAAAGAGAUUAAUAUGGUGACAUAUUAAUAAACUGAGGUGGCAACACGAAGCGAUCGCUCUCGUCCUCAAG